GGUUAAAUAGUUUAUACAAAAUGUUGGUUUUGUAAACCAGAGAGGAUUAUUAAUCUUUAACCU
rnacentral:tRNA from 1 species